rnacentral:rRNA from 1 species
AGUGAACGCUGGCGGCGUGCUUAACACAUGCAAGUCGAACGAUAACGGAUUAUAGCUUGCUAUAAUUGUCAGCUAAGUGGCGCACGGGUGAGUAAUGUAUAGGUAAUAUGCCUCUUACUAAGGGAUAACAAAUGGAAACGUCUGCUAAUACCUUAUACUCCUUAUUAACAGAAGUUAAUAAGGGAAAGAUUUAUUGGUAAGAGAUUAGCCUGUAUUGUAUCAGUUAGUUGGUGGGGUAAUGGCUUACCAAGACUAUGACACAUAACUGGUUUGAGAGGAUGAUCAGUCACACUGGAACUGAGACACGGUCCAGACUCCUACGGGAGGCAGCAGUGGGGAAUAUUGCACAAUGGACGAAAGUCUGAUGCAGCAACGCCGCGUGGAGGAUGACACAUUUCGGUGCGUAAACUCCUUUUAUAUGAGAAGAUAAUGACGGUAUUAUAUGAAUAAGCACCGGCUAACUCCGUGCCAGCCGCCGCCGUAAUAC